rnacentral:rRNA from 1 species
GACGAGUUGUCGCUGGCCUUUUCUUUGACCGUGCACGCUCUGUCGUCCUUCAUUUCUCCAUCUAUUUGUGCACCUCUUGCGUAGACCUUUUCUGAGGGCUUCCUCGGGUCGUUAGGACUGCUGUGGGCUUUCCUUGUCGCUACCACUCCUACGCCACUGCAAUUGUUUAGAAGGAAAUGGARUUUGAUGCGAAAUGCAAUUUUAUGCAACGGAUCUCUUGGCUCUCGCAUCCUUGAAGAACUCACCGAAAUGAAAUAAGCAAUGUAAAUUGCAAAAUUCUGUGAAUCGCCGAAUCCUUGAACGCAUCUUGCGCUCCUUGGUUAAUCCYAGGCCCUGGCCUGUCUGAGUGUCAUUCCUGUCUCAACCUCACUGAGGGGUGUGGCUUGGAUUUGGGGGUUACUKGCCUUUGCUGCUCCCCUGAAAUACCUGAUCGCCUACAACCUCUCCAUGAAAAUGAGAUACAUAUCUGCAUCUGGUCGAGGGUUCUGCUGCUAUAAAAGAUCUGGAUUUAAUUAACAUGACCACUUAUCAAACUGGACCACCCACUGAGCUUGAGCACCUCCU